rnacentral:rRNA from 1 species
UACGAAGGGAGCUAGCGUUGUUCGGAAUCACUGGGCGUAAAGCGCACGUAGGCGGAUGUGUCAGUCAGGGGUGAAAUCCCGGAGCUCAACUUCGGAACUGCCUUUGAUACAGCACGUCUUGAGUCCGAUAGAGGUGGGUGGAAUUCCUAGUGUAGAGGUGAAAUUCGUAGAUAUUAGGAAGAACACCGGUGGCGAAGGCGGCCCACUGGAUCGGUACUGACGCUGAGGUGCGAAAGCGUGGGGAGCGAUCCGG